UACAGAGGUCCCGAGCGUUGUUCGGAAUUACUGGGCGUAAAGCGCACGUAGGUGGUCCGCUAAGUCGCGUGUGAAAUCCCCCGGCUCAACCGGGGAAAUGCGCGUGAUACUGGCGGGCUUGAGGUCGGGAGGGGUGAAUGGAACUCCAGGUGGAGCGGUGAAAUGCGUAGAUAUCUGGAGGAACACCGGUGGCGAAAGCGGUUCACUGGCCCGACACUGACACUGAGGUGCGAAAGCUAGGGUAGCAAACGGG
rnacentral:rRNA from 1 species